CUGUGAGGAUCAAAUGAGAUGAGGCACGGGAAAACACUUCACAGACAUUUGGUUAAGGUCCAUAGGCUUCUCCAGAUGCCCAGAGGAGUUCACAAUGUUAAAAAACAACAAUUCUGCUCUAAAGAAAGUAGUCAACAACUGGGAUGCGAAGCUCUCCUCAGGGCAUGCUAAAAGAUGAGGAAACCGAGACUCAAAGAGGAUGUUAUUUAUUUUUCACUGUUAAGCAACAUAGUGGGGAUUCAAACCCAUGUCUGUCAGACUCCAAAGCCCCUGUGUUCUAUUGUGCCCUGUGAAGUUAAUUAAAGGUGCCUUGGGAAUAUGGCCUGGAAGAGCUGAUGAUUGAUCAAAUAUGUGACUCAGGAAGACCUUUCCAUACCAUCCACCAGGAUUAGAUGGUUUGGAAAGAAAUUACUACUUUUGCUGCUUUUGCUGUGGGGUUAUAGAGCGAUACAGGGAGCAUCUUCAUGAAUGUGAAAUACACACCGGCAUUUGGAAAACUCCAUUCGUCACUAUUGUCCAGCAGAGAGUUAAAAGUAGGAAGCAGGAGAUGAAAGAAUACAGAAGUAGGAAGUUCUGUAUGAGCUCAUGCUGAAACGAAAAGAACCAUUAUUGGAAACCAUUAAUGAUGAACUUGGUAAGGAUAGUCUUGUGAUCUGUAAGUCUCAUGAAAUGAAAAUGAGGUAAUGUUAUGUUUUAUAACUACCGUGGAUCCGAGAAGCUGGAAAUUAUCUCAGCAUGAAUACCAUAAAGGAUCAGGGAACAAUGGAAGCCACCAAGAAAAGAAUCUUUAUUCAGCUUCAUUUAUAGCAGAUAUUCAUCUUAUGUUUCAACACAGGAAUCACAAAGGAGUUUGUUUUACCUUGUUGGGUAUGUAAAAAUACGAAGGUUAUCACAAUCCUCAUGCUUCCUUCCAUAGAGCCAAGGAAGGAAAAGAGAGUGCUAUGAAGUGGGGGUUGAAUAGCUGGGGCUGAAAGAGGUGACAGGAGGAAAGAGAGAAUAGGGGGAGAAGAAAAGAACUAAGAGAUUCUUCCCACCCUCGUUCAACCUCCAUUCUCUAGACCUGAGCUGUCUAAUAUGGCAGCCACUAGCUCUACAUGACUAUUUACAUUUAUUAUGAGUAAAUAAAAUAAAAUAAAAAAAUCUACUUUCUCCUAUUGCACUAACCACAUUUCAAGUGUUUAAUGGGCACAUGAAGUUAGUGGCUACCAUUUUGGAUGGUCAUCAUCACAGAAAAUUCUAUUGGACAGCACUGAGAACCAUCCAAUUCCACUUAUAAGUCCCAGAGGAUUCAGAGUGCAGGACAAAUGGAAGCCUAUGGCUGUAAUAUCCUUGGCCCCUGGAAAGACAGAAGAGUAGAGUCUUCUGAAAUGGGACAUAAGAGUCCCAGGUUCUCAUAUAACCUUAUAUGAGCUACUUGUGCUCUCUAGGACUCAGUCUAAUAUGAAUGCUUGAUACCACCUUUUACUGGAUAUUAGAAAAUUGCAUGAUUAAUUUUAUCUCUAUAUAAUAACAAUGUGAGUUAUUAGGCCCAUGC